UCAAGCUCAACAGAGUACCAUUUUAGCAUCUUUUCUCAACCAAAAUCUCUUCUUUGCUCGAUCAAAAUCUCAAAUCCAUUGAAGAAACAAAUUUUCCUAAAUGGGUUGAAGGGCGAAGGAAUAGAUUUCAAAAUUCUUGAGUUUAUAGAGACGAAGGGUACAUUGCCAUUUAGGAUGAUUGCUGCCAAAUAUGGUGCAGACAUAACCUAUGGAGAGGAGAUUAUUAUUCAUAAGAUCAUCAAAUAUGAGUAGCGAGUUAAUGAACGUGCCCCGAGGAAAGAAAUCAAGUGGUAUUUCAGAUGGGCACUUUUGAUGCCAUGAGCGCUCUCAAAGCUGCUGAAAUAGUGCUAGGUCAUCUGAUUCAACAGCUUAUUGUAUCUGUGAUGAUAAAUCCAGCCCAAGUGAUCGACGUGUUACUAAUGAGCAUGGAUCACUGCAUUGGAAAGUACAGUCUCCUAUGAGCAACCAAAUGAAUUGGUCGACUAAUACAUUGUAUAAUUUUGAAGGUAUUUGUCUUGUUACUCAUGAAUUCCAUCAAAAGAACCUUUAAACUGUAGCUGCUUUCACUAGUGUGUUGUACGAUGCGACUUGAUAUAUAAUGGCACAAGGAUAAUUAUAAAAUGCAGUUAAUU